rnacentral:rRNA from 1 species
GACGAACGCUGGCGGCGUGCUUAACACAUGCAAGUCGAACGGAAAGGCCCUGCUUUUGUGGGGUGCUCGAGUGGCGAACGCGUGAGUAACACGUGUGUAACCUGCCCUUGACUUUGGUAUAACUUCACGAAACUGGGGCUAAUACAGGAUAGGAGCUCCUGCUGCAGGGUGGGGGUUGGAAAGUUUCGGCGGUUGGGGAUGGACUCGCGGCUUAUCAGCUUGUUGGUGGGGUAGUGGCUUACCAAGGCUUUGACGGGUAGCCGGCCUGAGAGGGUGACCGGCCACCUGGGGACUGAGAUACGGCCCAGACUCCUACGGGAGGCAGCAGUGGGGAAUAUUGCACAAUGGGCGGAAGCCUGAUGCAGCAACGCCGCGUGCGGGAUGACGGCCUUCGGGGUGUGAACCGCAGUCGCCUGUGACGAAGCGUGAGUGACGGUACCGGGUAAAGAAGCACCGGCUAACUACGUG